rnacentral:lncRNA from 1 species
CAGAGACAGUACGAACUUUCGCUGCUCCGCACGAUACAAGUCGUAUUCUUCUCUCCAUUAAAUCGUCUCGUAUUAUCUAAAUGGUGUGGCUGUGGUCGGUCGCUGUGCUCCUGCUGCUUGCAGCGCAACCUGCACCAGCUGUUCCUGCCAAGAUUGCGAACAGGAUGGUGCCCAGCUGGUGGCAGUAUGCGCGCACCACGUGCUACGGGCAGCGCGAGUGCGGUGCUGGC